GCCUCCGUAGCUCAGUGGCUAGAGCGUUCGCCUUGUAAGCGGAAGGUCGUGAGUUCAACUCUCAUCGGAGGCU
rnacentral:tRNA from 1 species